rnacentral:lncRNA from 1 species
UCGAAUGAUAGAUUUGUCGGCUUCUCUCUUCCAUCAAGUAUACGCUCAAGGGCCUCAAGAUCCAUGUAUCUGCUCUGCAAUCCAUUUCAGAAUAUGCACUUUCAACACUAACAAGAAACAAAAGUUUGUUUCUACUAGAGAGCACCAUUCCAUGGAGAAUUGACGUUUGACUAGAUCGCUCGUACCUUUCUAUAGCAGCAUAUGGUAGUUGUGCAAGAAAGUUGUCUGCAGUAAAUCACUGAAGCGCCAACAAAUAUUUAGCACAAACCGGAACUGAAACACAUUGCCCACUGGUGUAAUAAAACCC